UACGUAGGGGGCAAGCGUUGUCCGGAAUCAUUGGGCGUAAAGAGCGUGUAGGCGGCUCGAUAAGUCCGCUGUGAAAGUCCAGGGCUCAACCCUGGAAGGCGGGUGGAUACUGUCAAGCUCGAGUCCGGAAGAGGAGUGUGGAAUUCCUGGUGUAGCGGUGAAAUGCGCAGAUAUCAGGAGGAACACCAAUGGCGAAGGCAGCACUCUGGGACGUGACUGACGCUGAGACGCGAAAGCGUGGGGAGCAAACAGG
rnacentral:rRNA from 1 species